rnacentral:rRNA from 1 species
CCUACGGGAGGCAGCAGUGGGGAAUAUUGGACAAUGGGCGAAAGCCUGAUCCAGCCAUGCCGCGUGUGUGAAGAAGGCCUUCGGGUUGUAAAGCACUUUCAGUGGGGAAGAAAGCCUUGGGGCUAAUACCCUCGAGGAAGGACAUCACCCACAGAAGAAGCACCGGCUAACUCCGUGCCAGCAGCCGCGGUAAUACGGAGGGUGCGAGCGUUAAUCGGAAUUACUGGGCGGAAAGCGCGCGUAGGCGGUCUGAUAAGCCGGUUGUGAAAGCCCCGGGCUCAACCUGGGAACGGCAUCCGGAACUGUCAGGCUAGAGUGCAGGGGAGGAAGGUAGAAUUCCCGGUGUAGCGGUGAAAUGCGUAGAGAUCGGGAGGAAUACCAGUGGCGAAGGCGGCCUUCUGGACUGACACUGACGCUGAGGUGCGAAAGCGUGGGUAGCAAACAGGAUUAGAUACCCUGGUAGUC